rnacentral:rRNA from 1 species
CUGGACCUCGGAUCAGGCCAGGCUACCCGCUGAAUUUAAGCAUAUUAAUAAGCGGAGGAAAAGAAACUAACAAGGAUUCCCCCAGUAACGGCGAGCGAAGCGGGAAUAGCUCAAAUUUGAAAUCUCCGGUGCCUGCACCGGCGAAUUGUAGUCUGUAGGGCCAGUUUCGCCCGAGACAGUGUCCCCAAAGUCGUCCUGGAAAGGCGAGCCGGAGAGGGUGAGAGCCCCGUACGCGGGGGCGCUGUCGAGGGUAAGAUCUGUGCCCGAAGAGUCGGGUUGUUUGGGAUUGCAGCCCAAAAUGGGUGGUAAACUCCAUCUAAAGCUAAAUACCGGCACGAGACCGAUAGCG